GAUGAACGCUGGCGGCGUGCCUAAUACAUGCAAGUCGAGCGAACAGACGAGGAGCUUGCUCCUCUGACGUUAGCGGCGGACGGGUGAGUAACACGUGGAUAACCUACCUAUAAGACUGGGAUAACUUCGGGAAACCGGAGCUAAUACCGGAUAAUAUAUUGAACCGCAUGGUUCAAUAGUGAAAGAGGUUUUGCUUGUACUUAUAAAUUGAUCCGCGCCGCAUUAGCUAGUUGGUAAGGUAACGGCUUACCAAGGCGACGAUGCGUAGCCGACCUGAGAGGGUGAUCGGCCACACUGGAACUGAGACACGGUCCAGACUCCUACGGGAGGCAGCAGUAGGGAAUCUUCCGCAAUGGGCGAAAGCCUGACGGAGCAACGCCGCGUGAGUGAUGAAGGUCUUCGGAUCGUAAAACUCUGUUAUUAGGGAAGAACAAAUGCGUAAGUAACUAUGCACGUCUUGACGGUACCUAAUCAGAAAGCCACGGCUAACUACGUG
rnacentral:rRNA from 1 species